AUUGAACGCUGGCGGCAGGCCUAACACAUGCAAGUCGAGCGGAUGAAGGGAGCUUGCUCCUGGAUUCAGCGGCGGACGGGUGAGUAAUGCCUAGGAAUCUGCCUGGUAGUGGGGGAUAACGUCCGGAAACGGGCGCUAAUACCGCAUACGUCCUGAGGGAGAAAGUGGGGGGUCUUCGGACCUCACGCUAUCAGAUGAGCCUAGGUCGGAUUAGCUAGUUGGUGGGGUAAAGGCCUACCAAGGCGACGAUCCGUAACUGGUCUGAGAGGAUGAUCAGUCACACGAGAACUGAGACACGGUCCAGACUCAUGCGGGAGGCAGCAGUGGGGAAUAUUGGACAAUGGGCGAAAGCCUGAUCCAGCCAUGCCGCGUGUGAAGAAGGUCUUCGGAUUGUAAAGCACUUUAAGUUGGGAGGAAGGGCAGUAAGUUAAUACCUUGCUGUUUUGACGUUACCAACAGAAUAAGCACCGGCUAACUUCGUG
rnacentral:rRNA from 1 species